rnacentral:lncRNA from 1 species
AGAACACGCCAUUAACAAGGCCAGAACCCCGACUGCCAUUCCUGGACGGGAGCCACCAACACCCGCAAAAUCGAUCGAUUCAGCCUGGGACGCUUGCUGUUUCCGAACCUCUGUUGCCACCUAUCCCAGUUUGGAGGGAAUUUUCCCAAGGAUGGUGAAGAAGGGAUUUCCACACGCCGCCUCACUCAGCCCCGCACCCCUGGCCACCAGCCAGGACUUAGGGUGUAGUUAAGGAUCUUUCAAUUAGAAGGGAGGCUUCUGAUUCCCAAAAGCACUCAAAAUAUUUAAGGAAGUGCUUUUUAUAAUCAGUCCUAGAGCCUUGCUGCACUGGAUACUCCUGUUAAUUAAUUUCUUCUCCUUUGACAUUUUAAGUGCUAAUUAUAGGAGAAGGUGAUUAACACUGAGAAAGGAGGAGGGGUGUGUGUGUGUGUGUGUGUGUGUGUGUGUGUGUUUUUAAUCAUGACACAAAUUUCCCCCAGUGGAAAGUGACAUGUUUCUGGAGAUCCAGGGAAUUUAAACCAAUGAAUACAUAAAAACAGUCACAUGAGUGAUGACUAACAGUAGCAGUAGAC